GCCCUUUUGAUUACGUCCCUGCCCUUUGUACACACCGCCCGUCGCUGCCCGGAACUGGGUUAAUUCGAGAAGAUUGAGGAUUGUUUGUUAUUUAUAUUCCUUACAGAAUAUAUUUAACAGAUGAAAAUCAAUUUGAUCGCAUUGGCUUGAACCGGGCAAAAGUCGUAACAAGGUGGCCGUAGGUGAACCUGCAGGCCGGAUCAUUA
rnacentral:rRNA from 1 species